UUCGGGACUUGAGACCGGCGCACGGGUGCGUAACGCGUAUGCAAUCUACCUUAUACAGGGGAAUAGCCCAGAGAAAUUUGGAUUAAUGCCCCAUAGUGUUAUAGAAUCGCAUGGUUUUAUAACUAAAGUUCCAACGGUAUAAGAUGAGCAUGCGUCCCAUUAGUUAGUUGGUAAGGUAACGGCUUACCAAGACAAUGAUGGGUAGGGGUCCUGAGAGGGAGAUCCCCCACACUGGUACUGAGACACGGACCAGACUCCUACGGGAGGCAGCAGUGAGGAAUAUUGGUCAAUGGGCGCAAGCCUGAACCAGCCAUGCCGCGUGCAGGAAGACGGUCCUAUGGAUUGUAAACUGCUUUUAUACAGGAAGAAACCUCCCUACGUGUAGGGACUUGACGGUACUGUAGGAAUAAGGAUCGGCUAACUCCGUGCCAGCAGCCGCGGUAAUACGGAGGAUCCAAGCGUUAUCCGGAAUCAUUGGGUUUAAAGGGUCCGUAGGCGGCCUUAUAAGUCAGUGGUGAAAUCUCCUAGCUCAACUAGGAAACUGCCAUUGAUACUGUAGGGCUUGAAUUUUUGUGAAGUAACUAGAAUAUGUAGUGUAGCGGUGAAAUGCUUAGAUAUUACAUGGAAUACCAAUUGCGAAGGCAGGUUACUAACAAACGAUUGACGCUGAUGGACGAAAGCGUGGGGAGCGAACAGGAUU
rnacentral:rRNA from 1 species